CAUCUAUGAGUUUUAUGAGAGUGUCUCAUAUCUAAAAUUUUUUCUCCUAUUUCUCAUUUUUGGAAGAGUCUAAAUCAAGAAAAAAAAGGCAUCUGAUCGACCAUCGAAGAAGGAUCAGCACAGUACUAGCAUACUGUGCUGAUUUUCUGGACCAGGACUUCUGAUCGUAAUCCGUGAGCUCGUGUGGAUGACUCCUAGAGGCUAGAUGCAUGUGUGGCUUGUAACAUCAUCCUCAAGAUCGGAUCAAUAAAGUUAGAAUGUCUAACUUGCAAGG
rnacentral:lncRNA from 1 species